AUUAUAAAAAAAUAAACAUUAAAAUUCAGUGGCAGGCAUUGUAAAUAAGUCCCAACUACAGGAUUUAUUUCACAAAAUAGCUGCAAAAAUGUAUAUUUAGAUAUAUAUAUAUAUAUAUUUUUUAAAUAUAGGAGGUUUUAGGCCGAAACCCGUAAUCCCCAGGCCCGAACUACUAUCUUAUCUUAUAUAAUAAAGUAAGGUUUCUCCAAAACAAGCUCUGAGAAGUUGCCAUUUGGCAUUCUAUUCUUUCGACAUUUGUCACUUUUUAAAUUUUAAUCUAAUGUAU
rnacentral:sRNA from 1 species